UAGUGGCCGCCAGCACAGAACCCACAACAAUAGGUGUACAGUGAUUUUCCCGGCAGUGAGCUACCGACUUCGCCUCUCCUCCCUGGCCGCAGCUCCCCUUCUCAGACUAAAUUUCUGUGCUGCACAGAAGAUUCUCUUCACCCAAGCUAAAUCAAAAGAGGAAAUUACUGUCUGUUCCACGGUGGACAUGGUAGAUUUGCCAAGAAAACCAAAUGCAAACAUCCCUUUUCAACCUUCCCUACUCCCUCGUUCUCAAAGUCGGCAUUGAGGAUUUCCAAGACAAAAACAGCUUUCUGAUGUUGGGCUGGAACAGCCCCCUUGGGGAACCUUGUCAGUUGUUACCCUGAAGUGUAAGUGCUUUCCAACUUUACGACUGCGAUUUCAACAUCUGUUACCUAAUUUAGCAAGUUGACAGGACUUGACUGUGGCUGCCACGCUCACCGGCUGUGACUGCAUGAGCCGGGCAUGUUUCGAGGAGAGUAACUCUAGACUGUAAGCUCGUGUGUAGACUGAAAGUCCGUUGUGCUCAGGGAGCGUGGCGGCUAACGGUUGGAUUGUACUCUCCCAGGUGCUAGGUAUAAUGUUCUGCUCAUUCUAAGUGCUCAAUGUACCACUGAUUGAGAGACUAUUUCCAAAGAAAAUAGUGCCUCUGCUCCAGAUGUGCUCCGGGAAAACAUAAACUGGAAACACCUACCCAAUGUGAAAGCUGUCUGAAUCGACCAAGAAAACGUCGCGAUCCAGCCCAGUGAGGGACUGUUUAUACCCAUCGCAUCUAUUUGAGGUCUCAAGUCAACAAAAGUCUGACCAAGCCCAAACCACAGAGGAUUUGAACCCAGGGUCCUACCAACUUUUUCACCAAAUGGUUGCCAGUGAAUCUGUUUCAUACUAAAGGAGAGAUUUAGGACUUCUCUAUAUAUCUCCAGAAGGUAACUAUCUUAAAUCACAAUUCACACCAGAGUCAAAGGAAAACCAAGAGGCCAGCUUGUUUAACUUGAAGCCAGAAAAGAACAAGAGUUAUA